rnacentral:rRNA from 1 species
GGGGAAUAUUGCGCAAUGGGCGAAAGCCUGACGCAGCGACGCCGCGUGAGGGAUGAAGGUUUUCGGAUCGUAAACCUCUGUCAGAAGGGAAGAAACCGCACCGUGCUAAUCAGCGGUGCCUUGACGGUACCUUCAAAGGAAGCACCGGCUAACUCCGUGCCAGCAGCCGCGGUAAUACGUAGGGGACAAGCGUUGUCCGGAUUUACUGGGCGUAAAGGGCACGCAGGCGGUUUUUUAAGUCAGAUGUGAAAGGUACCGGCUCAACCGGUGACAUGCAUUUGAAACUGAAAGACUUGAGUAUUGGAGAGGCAAGUGGAAUUCCUAGUGUAGCGGUGAAAUGCGUAGAUAUUAGGAGGAACACCGGUGGCGAAGGCGGCUUGCUGGACAAAUACUGACGCUGAGGUGCGAAAGCGUGGGGAGCAAACA